rnacentral:rRNA from 1 species
UACGGGGGGAGCAAGCGUUGUCCGGAAUCAUUGGGCGUAAAGAGCGUGUAGGCGGCCCGAUAAGUCCGCUGUGAAAGUCCAGGGCUCAACCCUGGAAUGCCGGUGGAUACUGUCGGGCUCGAAUCCGGAAGAGGUGAGUGGAAUUCCUGGUGUAGCGGUGAAAUGCGCAGAUAUCAGGAGGAACACCAAUGGCGAAGGCAGCUCACUGGGACGGUAUUGACGCUGAGACGCGAAAGCGUGGGGAGCAAACAGG